rnacentral:rRNA from 1 species
UACGUAGGGGGCAAGCGUUGUCCGGAUUUAUUGGGCGUAAAGAGCGUGUAGGCGGCCAUACAGGUCCGUUGUGAAAACUCGAGGCUCAACCUCGAGAUGUCGGCGGAAACCACUUGGCUAGAGUCCGGAAGAGGAGAGUGGAAUUCCUGGUGUAGCGGUGAAAUGCGCAGAUAUCAGGAGGAACACCAAUAGCGAAGGCAGCUCGCUGGGACGGUACUGACGCUGAGGCGCGAAAGCGUGGGGAGCGAACAGG